rnacentral:rRNA from 1 species
UACGAGAGGUGCGAGCGUUAUUCGGAAUCAUUGGGCGUAAAGGGUGCGUAGGCGGUAUGGUAAGUCUGUUGUUAAAUCUCCUGGCUCAACCAGGAAACUGCAAUGGAAACUGCUGUUCUAGAGGGUGAGAGAGAGAAGUGGAAUUCCAGGAGUUAGCGGUCAAAUGCGUAGAUCUCUGGAGGAACACCGAUGGCGAAGGCAGCUUCUUGGCUCAUUUCUGACGCUGAGGCACGAAAGCGUGGGGAGCAAACAGG